rnacentral:rRNA from 1 species
CACGUAGGCACCAAGCGUUGUCCGGAUUUAUUGGGCGUAAAGAGCUCGUAGGCGGUUCGGUAAGUCGGGUGUGAAAACUUUGGGCUCAACCCAAAGCGUGCACUCGAUACUGCUAUGACUAGAGUUCGGUAGGGGAGUGGGGAAUUCCUAGUGUAGCGGUGGAAUGCGCAGAUAUCAGGAAGAACACCCGUGGCGAAGGCGGCUCUCUGGAACGCAACUGACGCUGAGACGCGAAAGCGUGGGGAGCAAACAGG